rnacentral:misc_RNA from 1 species
GAUGAAGAACGUAUCGAAAUGCGAUACGUAAUGUGAAUUGCAGAAUUCAGUGAAUCAUCGAGUCUUUGAACGCACAUUGCGCCCCCUGGUAUUCCGGGGGGCAUGCCUGUCCGAGCGUCAUUGCUGCCCUCAAGCACGGCUUGUGUGUUGGGCCUCCGUCCUCCUCCCGGGGGACGGGCCCGAAAGGCAGCGGCGGCACCGCGUCCGGUCCUCGAGCGUAUGGGGCUUCGUCACCCGCUCUUGUAGGCCCGGCCGGCGCUUGCCGACACAUCAAUCUUUUUUCCAGGUUGACCUCGGAUCAGGUAGGGAUACCCGCUGAACUUAAGCAUAUCAAUAAGCGAGGA